rnacentral:rRNA from 1 species
GACGAACGCUGGCGGCGUGCCUAACACAUGCAGGUCAACUUGACUGAAGGAGCAAUCUGACAGUAGAGUGGCGCAAGGGUGCGUAACGCGUAAGUAACUUGCCCCAAGGUAAGGAAUAACGUCGAGAAAUCGGCGCUAAUACCUCAUAAUGCAGCGGAUCCGCAUGGAUAUGUUGUUAAAGGUUUACCGCCUUGGGAUAGGCUUGCGUCUGAUUAGCUAGUUGGUGUGGUAACGGCACACCAAGGCUACGAUCAGUAACUGGUCUGAGAGGAUGAUCAGUCACACUGGAACUGAGACACGGUCCAGACUCCUACGGGAGGCAGCAGUGAGGAAUAUUGGGCAAUGCUCGAAAGAGUGACCCAGCAACGCCGCGUGGAGGAUGAAGGUAUUCUAUAUCGUAAACUCCUGUGAGAGCAGACGAAAGACAGAUUAUUAGUCUGGAUGACUGUAUGCUCAGAGGAAGCCCCGGCUAACUACG